rnacentral:rRNA from 1 species
GUGAACGCUGGCGGUGGGCCUAACACCUGCAAGUCGAACGGCAGCACAGUAAGAGCUUGCUCUUACGGGUGGCGAGUGGCGGACGGGUGAGGAAUACAUCGGAAUCUACUUUUUCGUGGGGGAUAACGUAGGGAAACUUACGCUAAUACCGCAUACGACCUACGGGUGAAAGCAGGGGAUCUUCGGACCUUGCGCGAUUGAAUGAGCCGAUGUCGGAUUAGCUAGUUGGCGGGGUAAAGGCCCACCAAGGCGACGAUCCGUAGCUGGUCUGAGAGGAUGAUCAGCCACACUGGAACUGAGACACGGUCCAGACUCCUACGGGAGGCAGCAGUGGGGAAUAUUGGACAAUGGGCGCAAGCCUGAUCCAGCCAUACCGCGUGGGUGAAGAAGGCCUUCGGGUUGUAAAGCCCUUUUGUUGGGAAAGAAAAGCAGCAGGUUAAUACCCCGCUGUUCUGACGGUACCCAAAGAAUAAGCACCGGCUAACUUCGUG